rnacentral:lncRNA from 1 species
AUUUAGUAAAUUUAACGUAUUUCCCAAUAUAUAACUAUUUUUGCUGUUUAUAACUUGUGAUAUUUUUAUUCUCUGAAGGAAUCAAGUAAAAAUGUUCUCCCAGAACAAGAGCUUUCCUGUGCUGAAAAGAGACCCUCUUUUCUUCAGAGAGAAAGAAUAUCUGAAAAAAUGACAGAAAAUGACAUCUGGUGCCCUGCCUAUCAAAAGAGGACAAGCAAGGAGCAAGAACUCAGAUAAUCCCUGGGCCAAUUAUCCAGGACCUGCACAGAAAGGCAUCCUAAUGAAGACUUGCUGAAGGAAUGAAUAAGUGGGUGACCAUUGUAUGCAGGCAAACUUGUGAGAACCUGCUGAGAUAUUAAUGCAUCCUAAGGUUUUAAGGACUGAUGGACUCAUAUGAAAGAGAGACAUGAGCUGCACACACAGAGGAAAGGCCAUGUGAGGAUACAGUGAGAAGGUGGCCAUCUGCAAGACAAGGAGAGAGGCCUCAAGAGAAACCACACUUGCAGACACAUUGAUCUUGGACUUCCAGCCUCCAGAGUUGUGAGAAAUAGACUUCUGUUAUUUAAGCCACCUAAUUUAUACUGCUUUGUAAUGGCAGCUCUUUUUCAAAUGGAAAUUAAUUUUUUUUGUCUAGACUUGGCUGAACUAUAUCAAGUACACCAUCUCAUGAGAUGGUCAUCAUCUUUGGUCUCUGUUUAGCACUACAUGAGGCAAACAAUUCCUGUAGUUAUGGUGUUUAUCUGAAUAUAAUAUGGAAGACUUUAGGAUGUUUUAAGGCAUUUACUUAAAUAUGUUUCUAAUAAUUCUCAAGAAGCACGUGAAAAACUAAUUUGCACUUUAGUGAUGCUGAAUAAAGAAAACAUGUACUAUAUGUUUAUCAAAUUAUGGUUGCAGAAAAAGUGAUGAAAUAUCCAAAUGGUCAUCACACAAAUAACUAAAAAUGACUGAUGAUCUUGCUGGGAACUCCACUUUGGAAAGAACUUUUCACUUCUGUCCAAACAAAAGCACUCAAGAGGCUGGGUAAGGGGUGGCCACUCAGUCUGUGGCAUCCAGUAAAUUAUUGUCUACACUUAGCAGAGGGAAAACAUGAUCUAGUGUGGAAGAAAGACUUUUGAUGCUCAUGAGAACAAUGUCAGACUCAAUGAAUGAGACAUUCAAGCCCUCCGUCCACUUUCCACGGUGUCAUCCAAAUGCAGAAUUAUCAACAAAAAUGUUUUGGCUGACCCUAGAAGCAGGAUCUCUGCCCUUUCUGGUCGCCUCUAUUUAUAUCCAAUUUUUUUAUCUUUGUUCAUUCUUACCUUCCUAUUUGUGCAAAUUGUGAUGUGACUUCAAGACCCAAAUUCUUUCCUGGCUCUGUUGAAACCCAAAUUCAUUUUUUACUUUAAGACCCUACAAUAAGUCUAACACUUAACAUUUAUAUUCCCAAGAAAAAUCUUUAAUUUGCAAAAACACCCUGGCUUAUUCUCAUUCUCUAGGCUUUUCGCGUGGGAAGUUUUUGUGUUCAACUAGCCUGCACACUGCGAAGUAAAACAUGUCUUCUACUACAAAAAGGGAAGAUCCUGCAGGUCUCUUCUAAACUGACUCCUUGUCAACCAUGAGGGGGUAACAACCCUCUGGACGCCCUCACUAAGGGGUAUGUGAGUCUAUUAUUUCUAUCAGUGACAGGCUCCUAAGCUCCAUAAACCAAAGACCCUACACUUAUCUGGUAUAGUCUCAAGAGUAGCCAGACAAGGAGUGGUAUUAAGUUUGUGCUGUGCAUGAUAUGUUCAAUGGAAGGUUUUUGGAGGUAGAAAAAGAUAACCUUUAGUUAUUUUAAAUCUUAUGCUUCUGCACAUCAUAGACUUAAAAAAAAUCUUUAGCUUUUCCAAAGCUUGGUAGAUUUUCCUG